AGUGUCGUGAAAAGUCUUCCAUGGCGGCCAGUCAUAUCAAAAACCUAAUCAAAAAAUUGUUACUGAUUGUGUCAAGACCUGCUCGGCUACUGGAGUGCUUGGAGUUUGAUCCUGAAGAUUUCUACCGACUGCUAGAAGCUGUGGAAGGACAGGCUAAGGUAGCUCAAGGCAUCAAGACAGAUAUACCACAAUACAUCAUUAACAAGUUAGGCCUAAAUCGAGACCCUCUUGCUGGUAUGUUUUAGUGAACUGGAAUU